ACACACACACCUGCUGGCUGCAGCCAGCGCCGAUGCGUCAGGCUUUGGGAUGGGACUCAGGGAAGAUCUUCAGCCAAGUUUAAUUCCUGCAAAACAGAGCUUCUCCGUAUCAGCAUGCAAGAUUUCAAAGACACUGAUAUCAGCGGCUGGCUGUUCUGGCCAUACCAACUCUGAUGUUGUGCUUCAUGUCCCACGCUGCUCCUGCGGAUGUGGAUCUCCAGAGAGAUGACCUUUCACCUCCCCCAUCUCAGGCUGAAUGCCUUGUUGGAUCCCAGCAGAAGCAUCACUGACUGCCGAAUUUACUCAGAACAGUGUAUGAGAAGGCCGGAAGAUUUGCCUGAUUGGCAGAAAGAAUUCCAGGCAAAUCUUUCAGGUUGGAAAGAGGCGACAGCUCCUCUCCGAGGUAUUUCUAAAACAAAGCAGAGCCACCGUGCUGCUUGGGGGUUAAUAUCCCCCCUACUCUGCCCCCCAACUUGCUGCCAGAGAUCAGCUAAUCUGAUAAUUACGACAACAAACACAGUUUAGACAAACAAGACCUGACCCUGAGGGUUUGGAAUGAAAACAUUUACUCUCUCUCUCUCUCUCUCCAGAGAGACAGUGCCUGGAGCUCUCACACACGGAGGCACUGGGGAAAUUACCCUUGUGUUGGAGCGGGGUUAAAGCAUCUGUGUGAGGUGGGAGGGGCCAUGAUGGAGAGGUCCGGAGCACUUCGGGAGCAGAUGGAAAAUAUAUCAAUCUGGACACGGGAA
rnacentral:lncRNA from 1 species